rnacentral:rRNA from 1 species
AGCGAACGCUGGCGGCAGGCCUAACACAUGCAAGUCGAACGAACUCUUCGGAGUUAAUGGCGGACGGGUGAGUAACACGUGGGAACGUGCCUUUAGGUUCGGAAUAACUCAGGGAAACUUGUGCUAAUACCGAAUGUGCCCUUCGGGGGAAAGAUUUAUCGCCUUUAGAGCGGCCCGCGUCUGAUUAGCUUGUUGGUGGGGUAAUGGCCCACCAAGGCGACGAUCAGUAGCUGGUCUGAGAGGAUGACCAGCCACAUUGGGACUGAGACACGGCCCAAACUCCUACGGGAGGCAGCAGUGGGGAAUCUUGCGCAGUGGGCGAAAGCCUGACGCAGCCAUGCCGCGUGGAUGAUGAAGGUCUUAGGAUUGUAAAAUCCUUUCACCGGUGAAGAUAGUGACUGUAGCCGGAGAAGAAGCCCCGGCUAACUUCGUGCCAGCAGCCGCGGUAAGAC